rnacentral:lncRNA from 1 species
UCUAUACAUGUUCAUUUUACUCAAAUUCAAAUUACAUUAUACCUAAACAUUAGGUGGUGAUGGAAAGCAACAACGACACAUUCCACUGAUCUCACAUCCACAACCUGGGAAACCAAGAUGAUCUUUACAAUAUUUCACACAAUCAUCAUCAUUAUGGCAUUGAACCUUAUUUAUCUUAACAUCAUUCAAAUGAUUUUGUUUUUCCAAUUCAAAGGAUUCCCCAAUAUGGCUAAAUUUGCAAAAAACUAAGCAAAACAUAACAAACAAAGUCAAUGUUGCCUUUGCCAUCUCAACAAUGAAAGUAUAUUAUUUUUC